UAGCGCCAUUUAAUAGCACUAACAGUGGGCCGAAUAUAUAUAAUUUUUAUUCUAACAUUUUUUUAAAAUAUAUUUCAAUAAUAAAUUUUAGCUUCAGUUUUAGUAGUUAACAUAUUUUAUGGAUAUAUUUUUUAAGAUAUAUAAAAUCAACUUUUUUUUUGUCCCACUGUAAAGCAUCGACAACGUCUGCCUUCAGAACCGAUGACAUUUCAGAUUCUUUGGCGCGCUCUCGCGAGAUCUCACUCUCUUUGGCUCUCUCUCGCUCUUUGGAACACCCCCAAUGUAGUUGUUGUGGCUUUUGGUUUUUUUUUUUUGCUGUCGCGCCUCCCGCAAACUUGCGAUAUGGGGGCGGCGUGGCUGCCUUGGUGGGGCCGGCUCCCGUCAGCGUCGCGUCGUCAGUUGAGUUGGAAGCGUCAACUUGUGGAGCUAGCAUAUUUCAGCUAGUUGUUUCAAAAAAACCAUGUGAUAUAAUUUCUUAAGUAUUUUAUUUAUAAAACGCGACGCGAGAGUGAAGUGUGAAAAGAAAAGCAGAGAAAACGACAACAAAAUCGGCAAGCACAGUGGAGUACAGUGAAAAAAAAAAUCCAAAACAACAACAACAAGUCUGAACUGAAACAACAGCUAGGAAUUGAAAGACAAAAAUAGUGAUAAUUAAUAAUUAGGAUUUUUAAUAAAAAGACAAAAAAAAAAAAAAAAAA